rnacentral:rRNA from 1 species
AUACGGAGGAUCCGAGCGUUAUCCGGAUUUAUUGGGUUUAAAGGGUGCGCAGGCGGGAGAUUAAGUCGGCGGUGAAAUUUUUCAGCUCCACUGUAAAAGGGCCUUUGAAACUGGUUUCCUUUAGUGUAGAUGAAGUAGGGGGCAUUUGUGGUGUAUCGGUGAAAUGCAUAGAUAUCACGAGGAACUCCGAUUGCGCAGGCAGCUUACUAAACUACUACUGACGCUCAGGCACGAAGGCGUGGGGAUCAAACAGGAUUAGAUACCCUGGUAGUCCACGCAGUAAACGAUGAUUACUAGCUGUUUGCGAUACAAUGUAAGCGGCUGAGCGAAAGCGUUAAGUAAUCCACCUGGGGAGUACGUUCGCAAGAAUGAAACUCAAAGGAAUUGGCGGGG